rnacentral:rRNA from 1 species
GCGUCGACCGGCGCACGGGUGAGUAACGCGUAUCCAACCUGCCCAUUACAGGGGAAUAACCUUGCGAAAGUAAGACUAAUGCCCCAUGGUAUUCUCAGCAGACAUCUAAUGAGGAUUAAAGAUUUAUCGGUAAUGGAUGGGGAUGCGUCUGAUUAGCUUGUUGGCGGGGUAACGGCCCACCAAGGCAACGAUCAGUAGGGGUUCUGAGAGGAAGGUCCCCCACAUUGGAACUGAGACACGGUCCAAACUCC